CAAAACGCUUCAGUCCUUCGUCGA
rnacentral:miRNA from 1 species